UAGUACCCUUCAUUUAAUGAAGUGCUC
rnacentral:piRNA from 1 species